UCCGAUAUGGUGUAGUGGCUAACAUUAUCGCCUCUCAUGGUCAAUUCUUGGAACGUACGCGAUAGCCCGGGGUUUGAUUCCCCGUGUCGGAA